rnacentral:lncRNA from 1 species
ACAAGUUUGAUUGCUCCGAAUGUCAGUGCCUAUCAGGCAGCCAGUGAACAUUUGUCCAUCUUUAAGGCAUUAAACUGAGAAGAACCACUGAGGAAAGCAUGCCACAGUCUUUCCCAAAAUCCCUGUGUCCCAGGAACAACCAAGAAGUUAACUGGUCAGGGAAAAGAUUUCUUUUGGAAUGCAGAGCCAUCGCUGUGUGCAGAAAUCCCUGACCUGGCCAUGACUUCUACAACCCGGAGGACUUGCCUGGCAUUACCGAAAAGCACAGGGGAAAGAUUCUGUGGCAGGUGCCGCAUUUUAUCCAGCUCACUCCGUGCUAGUUCCUGGAAUGAUGGGAGUUGUGAUCUGUACCUCCGUGUGCAUAAUGGUUGUACCUGCUCCAGGAAGGCGCUGGAUCCUCCCAACUCCAUGGCUGUUCCACCCACAGUGUCAACAUGCCUUGGUCCAUAGCUCUGGAAGGCACACACCAAGCAGGAGCGGUGAACAGAAGAUGACACCAAACUGCCUGGGUUGGAAACCCGGCUCUGUGACCUAGGACCAGUCACUUAACUUCUGUGCCUCGGUUUCCCCAUCUGUCGACUGGGGAUGAUGAGAGUAUCUAUCUCACUGGGUUGUUGUGAGGAAUGGAUGAGGAAGUACAAAUGCCGUGCCUAAAGCAGGGCCUGGUGCACACUGAUAAGAAAUUAGGACACAAACAACAGACAGAAGGUGACCACAGGAGGACACAGUGAGAAGCUGGCCAUCUGCAAGCCAAGGAGAGAGACCUCAGGAGAAACCAAACCUGCCAGCACCUUGAUCUUAGACUUCUAGCCCUCAGAAUGGUGAGGAAAUAAAUCUCUGUUGUUCAUGCCA